rnacentral:misc_RNA from 1 species
CUCUCUCAAACCGCAAGGUUUGGUAUUGAGUGAUACUCUUAGUCGGACUAGGCGUUUGCUUGAAAUGUAACGGCAGGAGUGUACUGGAUAGUGCAAACUGGUUAUUCAAUGUAUUAGGUUUAUCCAACUCGUUGAAACGCUGGGGAGUGAAUUUCUGGUAGUCUGGCUCGGCCUUAUAACAACAAACAUAA